GGGGAAUAUUGGACAAUGGGCGAAAGCCUGAUCCAGCCAUGCCGCGUGUGUGAUGAAGGCCUUAGGGUUGUAAAGCACUUUUGUCCGGGAAGAUAAUGACUGUACCGGAAGAAUAAGCCCCGGCUAACUUCGUGCCAGCAGCCGCGGUAAUACGAAGGGGGCUAGCGUUGCUCGGAAUCACUGGGCGUAAAGGGCGCGUAGGCGGACUUUUAAGUCGGGGGUGAAAGCCCAGGGCUCAACCCUGGAAUUGCCUUCGAUACUGAGAGUCUUGAGUUCGGAAGAGGUUGGUGGAACUGCGAGUGUAGAGGUGAAAUUCGUAGAUAUUCGCAAGAACACCAGUGGCGAAGGCGGCCAACUGGUCCGAUACUGACGCUGAGGCGCGAAAGCGUGGGGAGCAAAC
rnacentral:rRNA from 1 species